rnacentral:rRNA from 1 species
GCAUAUCAUAAGCGGAGGAAAGAAACUAACAAGGAUUCCCCUAGUAACUGCGAGUGAAGCGGGAAGAGCUCAAAUUUGAAAUCUGGCAGUGUGUCGCUGUCCGAGUUGUAGUCUGGAGAAGUGUUUUCUGUGCUGGACCGUGUACAAGUCUCUUGGAAUAGAGCGUCAUAGAGGGUGAGAAUCCCGUCUUUGACACGGACUACCAGUGCUUUGUGAUGCGCUCUCAAAGAGUCGAGUUGUUUGGGAAUGCAGCUCAAAAUGGGUGGUAAAUUCCAUCUAAAGCUAAAUAUUGGCGAGAGACCGAUAGCGAACAAGUACCGUGAGGGAAAGAUGAAAAGCACUUUGGAAAGAGAGUUAAACAGUACGUGAAAUUGCUGAAAGGGAAACGCUUGAAGUCAGUCACGUUGGUCAGAACUCAGCCUGGCGUUGUUGCUUGGUGCACUUUCUGAUCAACGGGCCAGCAUCAAUUUUGACCAUUGGAAAAAUUCUCUGGGAAUGUGGCUCUCUCGGGAGUGUUAUAGCCUGGGGUUGUAUACAGUGGUUGGGAUUGAGGAACUCAGCACGCCUUUAUGGUCGGGGUUCGCCCACGUUCGUGCUUAGGAUGCUGGCGUAAUGGCUUUAAACGACCCGUCUUGAAACACGGACCAAGGAGUCUAACAUGCCUGCGAGUGUUUGGGUGGAAAACCCGAGCGCGCAAUGAAAGUGAAAGUUGGGAUCUCCGUCGUGGAGAGCACCGACGCCCAUACCAGACCUUCUGUGACGGCUAUGCGGUUGAGCAUGUAUGUUGGGACCCGAAAGAUGGUGAACUAUGCCUGAAUAGGGUGAAGCCAGAGGAAACUCUGGUGGAGGCUCGUAGCGAUUCUGACGUGCAAAUCGAUCGUCAAAUUUGGGUAUAGGGGCGAAAGACUAAUCGAACAUCUAGUAGCUGCUCUGC